rnacentral:lncRNA from 1 species
AUUCCACAUCUGAAAGUCCAUUGGUGGCUUCCAGGAUGCUGUCAAGUCCUGGUGCUUAUGAUUUCUGUCGAAUAAUCAGUUGUCUUGGGUGACCAGAAUAAGGGUUAAAAUUUGACCCAAAUUUAAAAAAAAAAAAAGCCACAGUCCUGCCUGCAUUGACUCUGUGGUCCUGGCUUUCCAUUCAGCAGACAGUACCUCAAGGCCUUUCCUGUUCCUCUCCGGGCAUGAGAUGUGUUUGCCCAGCCUCCGCUGUCCCUGGAAGCAGGGAUCUGGGGAUACAGGUUUGGGCCUGGCAACCCUGCAGGGGCUGGAUAAGCAGAGUUUCCAUAGGGGAGUGAGCCAUCCUGAGGACUCCAGGGCUGACCACACUGCCAGGCCUUUGGGACUCAUGUGUCCAGCUGGGAGUUGGGCCUAGUGGACCCCGCCACUUCCCCUGAGAGACUUCUCCCUGGAAGUGUCACCCACCUGGGCAUCUGGCUGAAUUUCUGAGGAAGUGAUUUCUCUGCAGGAGGUUGGAGGAGGAAGCUGCCGUGGGUGCUGCCUACUGUGCCAGGCUGGAAGACCUGCUGCAGCACUCAGACUUUGUGAUGCUGGCUGCCAGCCUGACGCCCCAGACCCAGGGCCUGAUGGGGAGGCGGGAGCUGCAGCUGAUGAAGCGAAGUGCUGUGCUGGUCAAUGUCGGCAGAGGUAGGCCUGUCUGUGAUGACCGUGUGGCCAGGAGACAUGGCUGGGAGUCUCUAGCUCUGCCCUUGGCUUUUCUUGUCCCCUUUAUCCUGAGUGGAUGCCCUGGUCCAGAA